GAUGAACGCUAGCUACAGGCCUAACACAUGCAAGUCGAGGGGCAGCGGGAAGGAAGCUUGCUUUCUUCGCCGGCGACCGGCGCACGGGUGCGUAACGCGUAUCGAACCUACCCUUUACUCGGGAACAGCCUUGCGAAAGCAAGAUUAAUGCCCGAUGUUCCGCGUUUGCCGCAUGGCAAAUUCGGCAAAGAUUUAUUGGUAAAGGAUGGCGAUGCGUCCCAUUAGUUAGUUGGCGGGGUAACGGCCCACCAAGACGACGGUGGGUAGGGGUUCUGAGAGGAAGGUCCCCCACAUUGGAACUGAGACACGGUCCAAACUCCUACGGGAGGCAGCAGUGAGGAAUAUUGGUCAAUGGGCGGAAGCCUGAACCAGCCAAGUAGCGUGCAGGAAGACAGCCCUAUGGGUUGUAAACUGCUUUUAUAAGGGAAUAAAGUGAGUCUCGUGAGACUUUUUGCAUGUACCUUAUGAAUAAGGACCGGCUAAUUCCGUG
rnacentral:rRNA from 1 species